rnacentral:rRNA from 1 species
UGGGGAAUAUUGGACAAUGGGGGAAACCCUGCUCCAGCGAUGCCGCGUGUGUGAAGAAGGCCUGAGGGUUGUAAAGCACUUUAGUUGGGGAGGAAAGACUCUCUUCUAACAGGAGAGAGGGAAGACGUUACCCAAAGAAUAAGCACCGGCUAACUCUGUGCCAGCAGCCGCGGUAAUACAGAGGGUGCAAGCGUUAAUCGGAAUGACUGGGCGUAAAGGGCACGUAGGCGGAUAGAUGUGUCAUAGGUGAAAUCCCCGGGCUUAACCUGGGAACUGCCUGUGAAACUGUGUAUCUAGAAUAUAGGAGAGGGAAGUGGAAUUUCCGGUGUAGCGGUGAAAUGCGUAGAUAUCGGAAAGAACACCAGUGGCGAAGGCGACUUCCUGGUCUAAUAUUGACGCUGAGGUGCGAAAGCGUGGGGAGCAAACGGGAUUAGAUACCCCGGUAGUCCACGCUGUAAACGAUGAGAACUAAAUGCUUGUUAGCUAAGGUUAAUGAGUAUUGAAGCAAACGCGUUAAGUUCUCCGCCUGGGGAGUACGGCCGCAAGGUUA